rnacentral:rRNA from 1 species
UACGUAGGCGGAAGAUUAAGUCAGUGGUGAAAUCCUGCAGCUUAACUGUAGAACUGUCAUUGAUACUGGUUUUCUUGGAUUUAGUUGAGGUAGGCGGAAUGUGUAAUGUAGCGGUGAAAUGCUUAGAUAUUACACAGAACACCGAUUGCGAAGGCAGCUUACUAAACUAUGAUUGACGCUGAGGUACGAAAGCGUGGGGAGCGAACAGGAUUAGAUACCCUGGUAGUCC